CCUACGUGAGGCUGCAGUGAGGAAUAUUGGUCAAUGGGCGGAAGCCUGAACCAGCCAAGUCGCGUGAGGGAUUAAGGCCCUGCGGGUCGUCAACCUCUUUUGCCGGGGAGCAGUGGUCCGGACGCGUCCGGCCCGGGAUAGUCCCCGGAGACAAAGCAUCGGCUAACUCCGUGCCAGCAGCCGCGGUAAUACGGAGGAUGCGAGCGUUAUCCGGAUUUAUUGGGGUUAAAGGGUGCGUAGGCGGGCAUUUAAGCCGGCGGGCAAAGGUCGGGGCUCAACCCCGGCCUGCCGUCGGAACUGGGGGCGUGGAGUGGGCGAGAAGUAGGCGGAAUGCGUGGUGUAGCGGUGAAAUGCAUAGAUAUCACGCAGAACCCCGAUUGCGAAGGCAGCAUACCGGAGCCAGACUGACGCUGAGGCACGAAAGUGCGGGUAUCGAACAGGAUUAGAUACCCGUGUAGUC
rnacentral:rRNA from 1 species